UCCUCGAUGGUGUAUCGGUAACAUAUGAGCUUCUCAUUUGAGAAAUCUAACUUAUCUGAAUCGCUCGAGCGCGGGGUUCGAUUCCCCGUCGGGGAA